CAGCUUACCGAUCAUAGAAAUUUCUCCCGCCAUCGUCAGGAAGUGUCUGGAAGUCCCCUGCCGCUCAGGAAUCACAAAUGUCGGAGAAAAUGUUCACUCUCUACGCCAUGAUCGUUGCAGACGAUGAGGAUGAUGACGACGUUUGACUACAAGUUCCAGUGCUGAAGGCUCUGCUCCCAACCUCUGGAACUCUCAACCACCAGACCUACGAAACAUCACCUCUACUUCUCAAUUCCAGACUGAUCUGAAAACACACCUUUUUAGAUUAGCUUAUUCUUCAUAACCCUGUUUUUUGUACUUUAUAUUCUUUUUAUUUUUAUUUUGUGUCUGUUAGUCCCUGCACUGUUUUUGUUUUUACAGAAUGCUAUCUGAUUUUCUUCUG